UUUCAGAUGGACCUAAUAGCAAAACUACAUUACCCAUAUAUUGUGGAGUACAAAGAUGCUUGGGUGGAGAAGGAUGACUACAUAUGCAUUAUAACUGGCUAUUGUGAAGGAGGAGACAUGGCUGCGAAUAUAAAGAAAGCUUGGGGAUCUUAUUUUUCGGAGGAGGUAACUAAUAAGGCUUUGUGUUCCAUUCCUUGGUUACUCUUCCAUUUUUGGGGAUCUUAUCAAUAAAAUAAAUAGAUCCUCCAUUUCUCCACUGCCAAUUGUUUACUCUUCCACACUGUAAGUAACUUGGUUUUAGUUUUUUAAUUGUGACAAUGUUAAAAAUUUUGUAAGCAUUAGCUUCAAGGGAAGUGUUUGAAUUUAUACAAAAUAUCUCAUAAUAUAUUUAAUGUGUCUUAAAAUAUUUUAGAAUAUCUCUAAAUAUUAUGUAAUCAAAUAGACAUCAUACUAAGGAAGUAAUCUUGAGAGUUGUUUCAUAAUUUCAUUAUGUUUCCUUAUUUAGUCAUUGUAAGCAAUUUUAUUUUAUUAGCUUGUGUUGUGUGCUUGGGCUUGUUCUAGCAGUGCUUGGCUAUUCGGCUUACACUUACCCAAAAGCUAGGAAUAUUAAUGGGUGUC